CAGCCGUAAACUAUGCGCGUUAGGUGUAUCGGUGACCACGAGUCACCGAGGUGCCGAAGGGAAACCGUGAAACGUGCCGCCUGGGAAGUACGGUCGCAAGGCUGAAACUUAAAGGAAUUGGCGGGGGAGCACCACAACGGGUGGGAGCCUGCGGUUUAAUUGGACUCAACGCCGGGAAGCUCACCGGAUAGGACAGCAGAAUGAUUGCCGGGCUGAAGACCCUGCAUGACUAGCUGAGAGGAGGUGCAUGGCGUAGACGUCU
rnacentral:rRNA from 1 species